rnacentral:lncRNA from 1 species
GCUCGAACCCCUUGAUGAAGGCUUCCUGGCCAAACCGGACGUUCAGGUCUCUCAUCUCCGUGGAGGCCUUGAACUCCUCUACCGCAAGACCCCUGGCCUCCGAGACCAAGACUGGAAUCUGCUCCGUCAAAUUGGUGACCCCGGCCUCCGCCGUUCUCACCGUCUCCUCCAAGGUCUGUUUCUCCUCCUCCCGGGCCUGCUUCUCUUUCUCCAGG